rnacentral:rRNA from 1 species
UGCGCAGGCGGUUUGAUAAGACAGGCGUGAAAUCCCCGGGCUUAACCUGGGAAUGGCGCUUGUGACUGUCAGGCUAGAGUGUGUCAGAGGGGGGUAGAAUUCCACGUGUAGCAGUGAAAUGCGUAGAGAUGUGGAGGAAUACCGAUGGCGAAGGCAGCCCCCUGGGACGUGACUGACGCUCAUGCACGAAAGCGUGGGGAGCAAACA